rnacentral:rRNA from 1 species
UUGCCUACGGGAGGCAGCAGUGGGGGAUAUUGCACAAUGGGCGCAAGCCUGAUGCAGCGACACCGCGUGAGCGAAGAAGUAUUUCGGUAUGUAAAGCUCUAUCAGCAGGGAAGAAAAUGACGGUACCUGACUAAGAAGCUCCGGCUAAAUACGUGCCAGCAGCCGCGGUAAUACGUAUGGAGCAAGCGUUAUCCGGAUUUACUGGGUGUAAAGGGAGCGUAGGCGGGAAGCCAAGUCAGCUGUGAAAACUACGGGCUUAACCUGUAGACUGCAGUUGAAACUGGCUUUCUUGAGUGAAGUAGAGG